GCCCAUAUGGAGUAGUGGUUAACUCACUGGUCUCCGAUAUUACCUAUUACUAGGUAUAAUAUCAGGCAGUCAGGUACCCGGGUUCGAAUCCCGGUAUGGGCU